AUUGAACGCUAGCGGGAUGCCUUACACAUGCAAGUCGAACGGAGUGCCGAACGGGUGAGUGAUGUAACGGAACGUGCCCAGUCGCGGGGGAUAACUACGACUACGCGUAGCUAUUACCGCAAACUAUUGCAGCCGCCGGUACCGGAUUAGCUAGUUGGUGGGGUAACGGCUCACCAAGGCGACGACCCCUAGCUGGUUUGAGAGGACGACCAGCCACACUGGGACUGAGACACGGCCCAGACUCCUACGGGAGGCAGCAGUGGGGAAUUUUGGACAAUGGGGGAAACCCUGAUCCAGCCAUCCCGCGUGUGCGAAGAAGGCCUUCGGGUUGUAAAGCACUUUUGGCAGGGAGGCGGUACCUGCAGAAUAAGCACCGGCUAACUACGUGCCAGCCGCCGCGGUAAUAC
rnacentral:rRNA from 1 species